GGCUUCGUGGUCUAGUGGUAUGAUUCGUGCUUUGGGAUUUCUCAGCUGCACGAGGCCCCGGGUUCAAACCCCGGCGGAGCCC